UACGGAGGAUCCAAGCGUUAUCCGGAAUCAUUGGGUUUAAAGGGUCCGUAGGCGGUUUAAUAAGUCAGUGGUGAAAGCCCAUCGCUCAACGGUGGAACGGCCAUUGAUACUGUUAAACUUGAAUUAUUAGGAAGUAACUAGAAUAUGUAGUGUAGCGGUGAAAUGCUUAGAGAUUACAUGGAAUACCAAUUGCGAAGGCAGGUCUCUGGGCUGACACUGACGCUCAUGCACGAAAGCGUGGGGAGCAAACAGG
rnacentral:rRNA from 1 species